GUGAAUCAUCGAAUUUUUGAACGCAAAUUGCACUCUCCUCUGAGAGUAUGCCUGUUUGAGGGUCAGCCUAUGAAAAAUCGACAUCGUUGCUGGUUCACGGUGACGUACGUCGGGAAUUGGGUCAUCUUAAAUAUUUUGUGUUUAAGCGGCUUAAAAUUGUCUUUUUGGUUCCAUGAACGUUUCUAAGUUUUAUUUCUUUACACGUUUAAGGUAUCGAUUUUUAUUAGACGUGACCAUCAUAUCGGAUCGGG
rnacentral:misc_RNA from 1 species